rnacentral:misc_RNA from 1 species
UGAGGCUUUAUAUCAAAAUGCAAUAUCCUUGUAUUACAACCUCGGUGCAAGUAUUCUAAACCUUUAGCAAUGCCAAUUGCAAUUUCAUGUAGUGUUUCCAAUCCCAAUCCAUCAUUAGUUCUCGAGGGAUUUUGUUUAUAUAUAUACUUUUCAAGAGAUCCAUUAGGCGUGAAGUCAUAAAUUAGAGCGCAUUUGGGACCAUCAAUACAAAAUCCUAAAAGACUGACAAUGUUAACAUGAGAAGUCC